rnacentral:tmRNA from 1 species
GGGGAUGACCGGCUUCGAUAGAAAGCACACUGCUAAAAACAGCUAAUCGAGUAUUCUAAAACCUCGCAAAACUUUUAGAAAAAUCAUAAGUGCCAAAUCACUUAUCAGCAAAGUAAGAACCGCGGUUGCUUCGGCUUUCGCGGCUCCGUCAUUUGCGACAGCUCUCGCCUAAUCGCUUGAGCCAUCGGCCUUGCGACUCCUGAUAGCAAGCAACCGGUGCCAUUUAUCAGGAUAGGCAUACUUUUUGCUCAAAAAUUAUGCUGAAAAACAGAGCGUAGAAUCCCUGCAUUCUUGUUUGUUCGCAACCAGGGAUUUGAAACAAUUGAACAAACUAUAUUAGUAGAAUGUUUUUAGCUUUUCUUUCUACACGCGGGUUCAAUUCCCGCCAUCUCCACUC